rnacentral:misc_RNA from 1 species
GAUGAAGAACGUAGCGAAAUGCGAUAAGUAAUGUGAAUUGCAGAAUUCAGUGAAUCAUCGAAUCUUUGAACGCACAUUGCGCCCUAUGGUAUUCCGUAGGGCAUGCCUGUUCGAGCGUCAUUACAACCCUCAAGCUCUGCUUGGUAUUGGGCGUCGUCCCCUAAACGGACGUGCCUCAAAGACCUCGGCGGUGGCGUCUUUGCCUCAAGCGUAGUAAUAUUUUUAUCUCGCUUUGGAGUCGAAGGCGUCGCCCGCCGGACGAAACCUUUAUUUUUUCUAUCAAGGUUGACCUCGGAUCAGGUAGGGAUACCCGCUGAACUUAAGCAUAUCAAUAAGCGGAGGA